AUACCGUGAAACUGCGAAUGGCUCAUUAAAUCAGUUAUCGUUUAUUUGAUAGUACCUUACUACUUGGAUAACCGUGGUAAUUCUAGAGCUAAUACAUGCUAAAAACCCCGACUUCGGGAGGGGUGUAUUUAUUAGAUAAAAAACCAACGCCCUUCGGGGCUCCUUGGUGAAUCAUAAUAACUUAACGGAUCGCAUGGCCUUGCGCCGGCGACGGUUCAUUCAAAUUUCUGCCCUAUCAACUUUCGAUUGUAGGGUAUUGGCCUACAAUGGUAUCAACGGGUAACGGGGAAUUAGGGUUCGAUUCCGGAGAGGGAGCCUGAGAAACGGCUACCACAUCCAAGGAAGGCAGCAGGCGCGCAAAUUACCCAAUCCCGACACGGGGAGGUAGUGACAAUAAAUACUGAUACAGGGCUCUUUUGGGUCUUGUAAUUGGAAUGAGUACAAUUUAAAUCCCUUAACGAGGAACAAUUGGAGGGCAAGUCUGGUGCCAGCAGCCGCGGUAAUUCCAGCUCCAAUAGCGUAUAUUAAAGUUGUUGCAGUUAAAAAGCUCGUAGUUGAACCUUGGGUCUGGCUGGCCGGUCCGCCUCACCGCGUGCACUGGUCCGGCCGGACCUUUCCUUCUGGAGAACCGCAUGCCCUUCACUGGGUGUGUCGGGGAACCAGGACUUUUACUUUGAAAAAAUUAGAGUGUUCAAAGCAGGCCUUUGCUCGAAUACAUUAGCAUGGAAUAAUAGAAUAGGACGUGCGGUCCUAUUUUGUUGGUUUCUAGGACCGCCGUAAUGAUUAAUAGGGAUAGUCGGGGGCAUCAGUAUUCAAUUGUCAGAGGUGAAAUUCUUAGAUUUAUUGAAGACUAACUACUGCGAAAGCAUUUGCCAAGGAUGUUUUCAUUAAUCAGUGAACGAAAGUUAGGGGAUCGAAGACGAUCAGAUACCGUCGUAGUCUUAACCGUAAACUAUGCCGACUAGGGAUCGGGCGAUGUUAUUCUUUUGACUCGCUCGGCAC
rnacentral:rRNA from 1 species